CAAGUUCCCAGAAUCCUUUGCGGUUUUACCCCUGAAUGACGUCACAUUUUCAAUCUCUAUCCUGGUGGGCCGGUCUCUAGUCAAAAUGCCCGGGCCGAUUUUUUGUCCCAGUCCAGCCCUGGGUCGCUCCAAGGCAGACCUCCAUCCCUGUGUGGAGGAAAACUUAAAAACAAGAAUGAAAUGUGUGUGUAACUCGAGUUCUUUCGUCUUUUGGUUUCUCUGUCUUCCUUUUUCAUUAUUGGACUUAACUGGGCUGGCUUUGGAUGAGCUUGCUUAAAAAAGAAAGUUCUAGAGGUCAAGUUGUCUUUGAAUACAGUUUUUAACCAUCAAUAUUUUUAGUAACCUUUCUUAAACUGAGGCAAAAGAUGGACGGGUUUGUAUCGCUUUGAUUUUCUUGAUACUGUGGGGUCUGCAGAUAUCUGACAUUUUUAUGGUGAUUAAAGUUGCUGCAAGACCAAAAGUCUGACAGACACCAUCUCAACAUGUGAUUGUCACUGCUGCUUCUUCUGAUGCCUCAUGAUAUCUGAUACUUCUUUUGCUUUAAGGUGUUAAGGGUGUCCACAGGAAAUGGAAUCUCAUUACUAUACAAAUCCUGUGACUCUCAGGAUUGCCAACCUCAGAUUCUUUGGCAUAAAAACAUCUAAAGUGCACUUCUACAAUUUUAAUUGCCCUCACAGUCUCGAAAAGAUUUUCACAAGAUGGGCUAAGUGCCUGAGAGAAACAGUAUGAAAAUGAAAAAGUGCAAAGAUGAAUGAGGAAAAGCACCAGACCCUUGUAUAAGCUUUUUAAAAUGCAGUUAUCCUUUGUAAUGUUCACAUUUGAAACAUACAGUUUCUGACAUUGCAUAAAAUAAAUCUAUUACACUAAAUGUCUGUGUCUUAUGGUUCUUAUGGUUGUCUUAAGAUUGUUGGGGUUUUGUCUGUUUUUUGGUAUUAUUAUACAGUCUUUACCUUCCAAUAUAAAGCUUCUUGAAGACUGUUGUUGUGAUUUGGCGCUAUCUAAAUAAAACUGAGUUGAACUGAAUCUGAAUAAAUAUUAAGAUAUAAGAUGUGCAAUAAUUAUUUUUUUAAAGGUUGGUGAUGUGUAGCCUGCUGUAGUCAUGAACCUCCAGAUUAGAGCAACAGCUGAUGCCAGCUAUUGUUGGAAACAGAAAUACUGAGGACAGAACAGUUUGGGAAGAGAAAGAAAGCUGCUGAGUCUGCACCUGUGGAAUAGGAAACGGUGACAGAAAUGCGCCACAUUUUUAAUAAUUAAUAUUUCCGACACGCCUUGAACUCAUCACUGAUCCGGCAGAAGUGAAAGAGAAAGCGAUAGUCUGAGUGUUUUUAACUGCACGGGAGAUUGAGAUACCCUAAUGCUCCUAUAGCGGAUGAAAUAUUUUAUUAACAAGUAUCUGAAGAAAUGUCUUAGAACUGUGUUGAAGGCAGGCCUGCAUCUUUGGCUUACUUUGAUUUCUUUUCAAAAUAAUAGCGUUUGUUUCUGCCUCCAACAACAAUUUCUUUGUAGAUCGUCAGAGGAGGCAGAAAAUGGGUUUAUUUGGUCGACGGGGUUUCAAGAACAUCUCUACCUCUGUGGAAGCUAAUAAUAAAUACCAUGGGCUGGUAAACCAAGGUGCGACGUGUUACCUGAACAGUGUGCUGCAGGUGCUGUUUAUGACCGAAGACUUCAGAGAAGCUGUGAAAAGAUCCUCCAAACAAAAUGCUGGCAUUGGGCUUCUUGGUGCCCUUACAGACUUGUUUGAUAAUUUACAGAAACAAACAGCAGACACACAUAAAAUAAUAACCCAGCUGGGCAUCAGCAGAGUGUAUGAACAGUGAGAUGCUGCUGAAUUCAUCGAGAAGAUUUUAACAAUGACCAGUCCCGAGGCAUCACAGAUCUUCCACGGUCUGUUAGCAAACCAAAUCACCUGCUCUAAAGGUCAUAAAGAGACUGACAAGGAUGCACCAUUUUGGCAUCUUCCUCUGUCAUUGGUGAAUUUUUACAAUCAAGACUACAGUGUAGUGAACGGCAUCGAGGAGUUUUUCAGACCUACAUGUCUAAAUGGAGAACACCAGAUGUACUGUGACCGCUGCGGUCACAAAGUUGAUGCUACUAUUAUGUAAUAAAACAUCAUCCAGAUGUUUUGAUUCUGCUGCUGAAGAGGUUUGAGUUCAACUACAUUUACAUGUCCUACUUCAAAAUCAGCUGUUUUGUGGAGAUUCCCUACAGCCUGCAAAUACCAGAGAAUGAGGUGUAUGAACUGUAUGCAGUAGUGGAUCAUUUUGGCGGUCUGAGAGGUGGACAUUACAGCGCAACAAUUAAAACCCAGGAUGAAGACAGAUGGUAUAAGUUUGAUGAUGCCCAGGUCACACCGCUUGAUUACCAGCCAUUCCAGGAGAAAUCCCAGAGUGCAUAUCUUUUAUUUUACAGAAAGGCAAAAAGCAAGAGUCAUAAUUGUUACCACAGGCAUUUGUUUCUUUAUAUAUUUUUAUUAUUGUUAUUUUAUUAUUCAUGCUGUAGUAGAUAGUUAAAACAGGCAGGGUUCACCUGCAAUCAGUGACAAAUAUGACCAGUGAGAAGACGCCUAUGAGAAAGCAAAGUCAGUUAUCACACUGCAGAGUGAUAAUACACACAAAAAUGAAGGACAAGUAGAAUUACAGUGAUAAUUAGUGUUGGAUCUGAACUCUGCUGUAAAUGAGAUUACCCAGUAAAUGAAGGUUUUUGAGGACACUUGGGGGAGAAAUGGACAUAAAGAAAUUGUCCGGCAUCAUGAAAAUUCAGGAGUGAAGUCAGUGACAGAGAUGCAGCUGUGAUAAUCUAAUAGACAGGUUGAGAUUAGCGACGGAGAAGACAAACGUGCAACAACUGAGGAUGAACAUCAAAACAAGCGAAUUAAAUGUCAGGAUUUGCUUGCAUGCUGUGAUCAUUGUCCUGUUGCAUACCUGUUGGACAGACAACCUCUUUUUUGUGUGUGUGUUUUAUAUUUAAAAUAAAUUCCACAAUUUUAAAUCUAAUUUAUUUUUUUAUUUAUUUCAAAUUCA